rnacentral:rRNA from 1 species
UACGUAGGGGGCAAGCGUUGUCCGGAAUCAUUGGGCGUAAAGCGCGCGUAGGCGGCCCGGUAAGUCCGCUGUAAAAGUCCAGGGCUCAACCCUGGAAAGCCGGUGGAUACUGUCGGGCUAGAGUCCGGAAGAGGCGAGUGGAAUUCCUGGUGUAGCGGUGAAAUGCGCAGAUAUCAGGAGGAACACCAAUGGCGAAGGCAGCUCGCUGGAACGGAACUGACGCUGAGGCGCGAACGACGUGGGGAGCGAAACAGG